rnacentral:pre_miRNA from 1 species
AACUUGACUGCAGGCUGGCUGGCCUCCAGGCGGGGCUGGGUGAGUGUCUGUUGGAAAGGCUCACCCUCAGUCGCCACUGGGAAC